GAUGAACGCUGGCGGCGUGCCUAAUACAUGCAAGUCGAGCGAACAGACGAGGUGCUUGCUCCUCUUACAUUAGCGGCGGACGGGUGAGUAACACGUGGGUAACCUACCUAUAAGCCUGGGAUAACUUCGGGAAACCAAAGCUAAUACCGGAUAAUAUCUUUAACCACAUGGUUCAAUAUUGAAAGACGCUUUUGCUUUCCCUUAUAAAUAUCUCCGCGUCGCAUUGGCUAUUGGGUAAGGUAACGGCUUCCAAAGGCAACGAUGCGAAGCGGACCUAAGAGGGUGACCGCCCACACUGGAACGGAGACACGGUCCAGACUCCUACGGGAGGAAGCAGUAGGGAACCUUCCGCAAUGGGCGAAAGCCGGACGGAGCAACGCCGCGUGAGUGAUGAAGGUCUCCGGAUCGUAAACUUCUGUUAUUAGGGAAGAAGAAAGGUGUAAGUAACUAUGCACGUCUUGACGGUACCUAAUCAGAAAGCCACGGCUAACUACGUG
rnacentral:rRNA from 1 species